rnacentral:rRNA from 1 species
GAUGAACGCUGGCGGAAUGCUUUACACAUGCAAGUCGAACGGCAGCAUAGAGAGCUUGCUCUCUGAUGGCGAGUGGCGAACGGGUGAGUAAUAUAUCGGAACGUACCCAGUAAUGGGGGAUAACGAAUCGAAAGAUUCGCUAAUACCGCAUACGCCCUACGGGGGAAAGCGGGGGAUCGUAAGACCGCGCGUUAUUGGAGCGGCCGAUAUCUGAUUAGCUAGUUGGUGAGGUAAAGGCUCACCAAGGCGAUGAUCAGUGGCUGGUCUGAGAGGACGACCAGCCACACUGGAACUGAGACACGGUCCAGACUCCUACGGGAGGCAGCAGUGGGGAAUUUUGGACAAUGGGGGCAACCCUGAUCCAGCCAUUCCGCGUGAGUGAAGAAGGCCUUCGGGUUGUAAAGCUCUUUCGCAAGGGAAGAAAACUUAUCUACUAAUACUAGGUGAGGCUGACGGUACCUUGAUAAGAAGCACCGGCUAACUACGUGCCAGCAGCCGCCGUAA